GCCCAGGUGGCGAAAUUGGUAGACGCACCAGCUUCAGGUGCUGGCGGGUAAUACCGUGGAGGUUCGAGUCCUCUCCUGGGCACCA
rnacentral:tRNA from 1 species